UGGGGAAUAUUGGACAAUGGGCGAAAGCCUGAUCCAGCCAUGCCGCGUGUGUGAAGAAGGUCUUCGGAUUGUAAAAGCACUUUAAGUUGGGAGGAAGGGCAGUAAGUUAAUACCUUGCUGUUUUGACGUUACCGACAGAAUAAGCACCGGCUAACUCUGUGUCAG
rnacentral:rRNA from 1 species